rnacentral:lncRNA from 1 species
GGUUGUUUAACGUCCAGUGGCAAAUAUUUCAUGCAUGUUCAGAACGAAUGUCCUAGGCUACAUUAAUAUAUUGUUUAUGUCUAAAAUAAAAUUAUAAGUUCAGAUGGAAAAUGUGUAGGGAACGAACAUUGAACUUGAAAAGGCAUGAGGGGUAAUGGUAUUUUUCCUGAAAAAAAUAUUCUGAUUCCCAAAUUGAUGAAUAAAAAAUCUAUUCAAGCAUACGACAAAAAAAAUAUUUUGAUAUUGACCAAAAAUGAAUUUAUCUUUCAGAAAUGCAAAAUAAAUUGAACUUUUAUAUAUCUAAAAACAUAAAACUUCCCACACCGCACAUGUAACUCCGUACACAGUAGUUUUUAAGGUGAUAAUAAGGCUGUAUUUGCCAAUUUGUUAUGAUAUACCUUUAAACUAGUGUUAAAUUUUGACUAAAUAAGUUUAAUUGAUAGCGCUGAAGGGCUUUCGUAAAAAAAAAAUCAGACUCUAAUAAACAAACAUUUGUAAUUCUGAUCAUCGUCAGUUUGUGAGUUCUACAUCAAUUAAGAGUCGGUUUUAUGUUAUUUUUUGCAUAUAUAUUUUUUUUUGUUACAUGUACAGGAUGUAGCUUACUUUUCAAGUUUUUAAAUGGCAGCAAAAUAAAAUUGAGAAUGGAAAUGGGAAAUACAAUUAUUUUGUAUGUGCCUGUCCCAAGUCAGGAGCCUGUAAUUCAGUGGUUGUCGUUUGUUUAUGUGUUACAUAUUUGUUUUUCUUUCAUUUUUUUACAUAAAUAAGGCCCGUUAGUUUUCUUGUUUGAAUUGUUUUACAUUGUCUUAUCGGGACCUUUUAUAGCUGACAAUGUGGUUUGGGCUUUGCUCAUUGUUGAAGGCC